UACGGCCGUAUAACAUUGAAAACCUGGUUCCCGUACAAUCACCGAAGUUAAGCUACAUCGAGCCUGGUCAGUACCUGGAUAAGUGACCGCUUGGGAAUACCAGGUGCUGUAAG